GUUCAUCUUUACAAUACUUCUAUAAUGCUUUCCCAUCCUUUUUGAACAUUUACUGCUUGUGGUCACUUGUAUUUAUUCACUGCAUUCAUCUUUUUGUGUUCCAUGGAGGAAAAAAGUCAAAUGGGACAUAGAAUUUGGACAUAUUUCUUUCGUAAUCAGGAACAUAGACACAGUCCUUCUGAAACUUAAUGAGUUUAUACUGUUUUACAGUGUUUUCUGUCUUGGAAGAACAUCUCGGUUUAUUUCCAAGUGCUUCCUGAAGAAGAGGAGAUGCACAUCUUUUAUGACUUCAAUCUGGCAUGUGGCUUUGUCUUUACUGCAGUUGCAGUUGCUCGCCCCGAGGCACUGUCAUUUGAAGAUGAGAAAGAGCUGUAAGAUGUGGAAAUGGCCUCUGAAGAUCAAACAACUAUCCCUUUCCCCCGUGUCACAAGGAAAGAGGAAGAAAUGACAUGCUGAGACAUCAGUCUAGUCCAAAAAAACUCAGAGGUGUCAAGAGAGCAGCUCGGUUUGUGGAUGGAAUUGGAAGUUAGAGUGUGAAGGGGGCAGAGAAGGAAAAAGGGAAGGGUGUGAGGUAAAAGAAAGAGACUGUUGACUCAAAUCAGACAGCAACGGAGGCCAAGCCCAGUCAUAUAGCUCGAGGAUUUCUGGACCUGCUGUGCUUGGAGAGGAAAGCACUCCAUCAUCUGCUGCAUUCCAUCCACACACGUCUCAAAUCAGCACUGGACACCAGCUCAGAGUUUAAGCCAGUUAAUAUGUUUUCCAGUUUUGUUCUUUCUGAAGUUAGGAGAAGAAGGUAAACUGGGGGAGGAAAAUAAAUAACCUGUAAAAAGACAAUCUUAUACCCCAAAUCCACAGAAAGAGCACUUAUUGUCCAAUCUGGCCCUGUUACAUGCAUUUUCUACCAAAAAGAAGGGUGUUCUGGGCUUUAAAAAAUUGGCUUAAUUAAAGUCAAAAUACCUGAGCAGCAGUUUGUGAUGUGCAUUCGGUUGACAGACACUCUGUUGCUAUUUGUUGUGCCACAGACAUAGUCCAGCCACUUCAUUUUACCUGUCCAUCAGAAAUUAAAUAAUUUUUUUAUUGGAAAAAGGAUCUAAAUAUUAAAAUAUUCUUCAUAAAAAGACUGAAAAGUUCACUGGAAAGUUAUUUGGGGAACUGAAAAGUUUCUAAGGCAUCGCUGCGAAAACAUAGUACAUACUUAUUUUUCAGGCCAAUUCUGAGAGAGGUUCGGCUGAGCAUCAACUCCAUCACCUGCACCAUUUGAGAAGAAAAGAAAAGUUAAUAUUGGAAAGCGUUUCAAAGUAACCCAUGGAAGCAGUUAAGAAAAGUCAGAUUGACCUUACUGGAAGGAAAAAAUGCUGAAAGAUCAAAGCUGGAAUUGGAUCCUCAAGAGAUGAAAACAGGCACAGAAAGAGAACAGACAGGAAAGGACCAUCUUCAGUUUGCCUCAGCACUAAAUUGAGAGUUUCACAGUAUUCACAACAGAAGGAAAAUUCAUGGAAAGCAGAUGCUCCUAAACAUUCAUGUAUCCACCACUUUUAAAAAUGCAGUUUUCAUUUCCUACUAAAAUAUCUGCCAGUAUACAUGGUCAGGGGCAAACCUACCCAUUAGGCAAAGGUUGGCGACAGCCUUGGACCCCCUAAAGCCAAGGUCCCCCUAAAAUGCUUUUCAUAUAUGAGAUGCGCAUUAAGUGCGGACAUGCUAAUGGUUGCUAUUUACUACAACAGCCAUCUGCAUGUCCGCGUCAAACGUGCUUUGUGUGUAUCCUGCUUGUAGCAAAUAAAAAUAUCAUGCAUUUGAAGCUGUAAUUAAAUAUUGAGCAACGGUG